AUGGGUGUCGACGAAACUUCGUCGACUUUAUGUUAUAAAUACCCCUCACAGUUUCUGUGUGAAACGUAUGAGAGACCUGUGAGACUUAGUGAAACUCUGUAAACAUUGUUUGUAUAUGUUUCGGGUUGUACUCAUCCCUAAUCAAUAGAUAUUGAAUCUUUUGGUUACGCGUGUUCUUGUUUUACACUUUGUUUGGUUUGCACCGUCACGGGGAUUCCGCACCCGUUACCGUGUUUGUGAUAAACAAGGAUAGGUUUACGUUAUCGAUCCACCGGAAAAACGGGACCUACAAUUGGUAUCAGAGCAUUGGCUCUAAUCCUUGUUUAAAACCAAACAAGUUUCGGUUUUUACCAAGUUUGUUCUUGAAAAGUUCAUAUUUUUUUUUUUUUUGAAAAAGUGGCUAAAAUCUGUUAGAUCUUUGUUGUUUUGCUUAAAAUUUUUAUCAAAAACCUUGUUUGUUUGAGUGUUUACAUAUUAGCAUUUGGUUUUUGUUGAAAGUUUUAAGCAAAAUCGUGUUUCGGAAAAUUGUUCGGUGACCGGAAUCAUCAUAAUUUUUGCCGGAAACUUCAUAUCUUCAACAGAUCUUCAUAAUGUUCUUGCUAAAGCUCACUGUUUGAUCUUUAUUGAAAGAUUAUAAAAGUGAUUGUGAUUAUUAUAUAAUUAUUUGACAUUUGUGUACUAAAAAAAAAAAAAUCAUGAUGUUUGUUGACAAAAUGCGUCUUCAGUAAGGUGUACUUUGAAAAAGUUAUGUAGUGUGUCAGAAGCAAGAUAAGGCUUAUCUUUGAAAAAUCUCACCUAUUCUCACCUACUUCCACUUCCAGAUCUUAUCCCAAAACACAUUUCACAAAGUUUUGUCAAUUCUCACAAGUGGUUUAGUAAACAUACUGAGUUCCAUCGUCAAAUUAAAUAAAAAAAAAGGGGGGGUUUCGUCAUAACCCUGUUUCGUCA
rnacentral:lncRNA from 1 species